rnacentral:rRNA from 1 species
CUAUCAGCUUGUUGGUGAGGUAACGGCUCACCAAGGCUACGACGGGUAGCUGGUCUGAGAGGAUGGCCAGCCACAUUGGGACUGAGAUACGGCCCAGACUCCUACGGGAGGCAGCAGUGGGGAAUCUUGCGCAAUGGCCUAACGGCUGACGCAGCGACGCCGCGUGAGGGAUGACGCUCUUCGGAGUGUAAACCUCUUUUGCCCGGGACGAAUUGCCAACUUUAGUUGGCUUGACGGUACCGGGUGAAUAAGCACCGGCUAACUCCGUGCCAGCAGCCGCGGUAAUACGGGGGGUGCGAGCGUUGUCCGGAAUCACUGGGCGUAAAGGGCGCGUAGGUGGUCUUAUAAGGGUGUGGUGAAAGCCCGGGGCUCAACCCCGGGUCGGCCGUGCCGACUGUAAGACUAGAGUGCUGUAGGGGCAGGCGGAAUUCCGGGUGUAGCGGUGGAAUGCGUAGAGAUCCGGAGGAAGACCGGUGGCGAAGGCGGCCUGCUGGGCAGAUACUGACACUGAGGCGCGACAGCGUGGGGAGCAAACAGGAUUAGAUACCCUGGUAGUCCACGCCGUAAACGAUGGGUACUAGGUGCCUGGGGGAGCGACCCCUUGGGUGCCGGCGCUAACGCAGGAAGUACCCCGCCUGGGGAGUACGGAAGCUUGGAAUUC